rnacentral:rRNA from 1 species
CAGUCGCCGCGGUAAUACGUAGGUGGCAAGCGUUGUCCGGAAUUAUUGGGCGUAAAGGGCUCGCAGGCGGUUUCUUAAGUCUGAUGUGAAAGCCCCCGGCUCAACCGGGGAGGGUCAUUGGAAACUGGGAAACUUGAGUGCAGAAGAGGAGAGUGGAAUUCCACGAGUAGCGGUGAAAUGCGUAGAGAUGUGGAGGAACACCUGUGGCGAAGGCGACUCUCUGGUCUGUAACUGACGCUGAGGAGCGAAAGCGUGGGGAGCGAACAGGAUUAGAUACCCCGGUAGUCCCUGUCUCUUAUAC